UGCGAAUGUCGAUCUGUAUCAAUUCUAUUCGUGAGGAACUUAUAUAUGUGUUACCAGUGAUUAAGUGAAUACCUUUGCUGAAAAAUGGGUGCCUACCUUGGAUUUUGCUUCAUCUUGAUAUGCUUGACGGGAUUGAAGUAUACUGAUGCUUUUGAAACGUGCUUUCCCACUGUGGACUGUGGAUUUAAUAUUGAUGGUUGCUUUUCUUUCUGUGUUGGGAAAUUCUGUGCAGGAUCAUCGAGGUGUGUCGGAAACAACCAGUGCUGUUGUGGUGGUUGUGUUGGAUAAACACAAGGGAAACUAAGAACAAAAAGGAUCUUAACCAACACAUGAUAGACCAUACACGUUUGAAAUUGAUAAUGGAUAUAUUUAGAUAGUGAAUAAAUGAAAAUACAAACAACAAAA